rnacentral:rRNA from 1 species
GACGGAGGGGGCAAGCGUUGUCCGGAAUCACUGGGCGUAAAGGGCGCGUAGGUGGCUUCGUGCGUCGGUGCUGAAAGCGCCGGGCUUAACCCGGCGAGGCGUGCCGAUACGACGAGGCUUGAGGCAGGGAGAGGGUAGCGGAAUUCCGGGUGUAGUGGUGAAAUGCGUAGAGAUCAGGAAGAACAUCGGUGGCGAAGGCGCUCUGCUGGACCAUAACUGACACUCAGGGACGAAAGCUAGGGGAGCGAAUGGG